AACGAACGCUGGCGGCAGGCUUAACACAUGCAAGUCGAACGAUGUAGCAAUACAUAGUGGCGCACGGGUGAGUAACACGUGGGAACAUGCCUUUUAGUUCAGAGUAACACCGGGAAACUGGUGCUAAUACUGAAUACGCCCUCCGGGGGAAAGAUUUAUCGCUAAAGGAUUGGCCCGCGUUAGAUUAGGUAGUUGGUGGGGUAAUGGCCUACCAAGCCUACGAUCUAUAGCUGGUCUGAGAGGACGACCAGCCACACUGGAACUGAGACACGGUCCAGACUCCUACGGGAGGCAGCAGUGGGGAAUAUUGGACAAUGGGGGAGACCCUGAUCCAGCCAUGCCGCGUGAGUGAUGAAGGCCUUAGGGUUGUAAAGCUCUUUUGUCAGGGAAGAUGAUGACGGUACCUGAAGAAAAAGCACCGGCUAACUUCGUGCCAGCCGCCGCUGUAA
rnacentral:rRNA from 1 species